GGGAAAGUCUGGAGCUCUGAAUAACCUCAGAUAUUUUUUUUUUCUUUUAGGGAGUUCAGCUGAGCUGAAGCAGGAAAGAUGAGUAUUGACUCAAGAAGCAAUUUUGCAAUACUGUACAGCAGAGAGGUCUCUAGUUCCAGCCCAAGAAGUUGCAGUAUCAUAUGGAGUUUGAGAACCUCUGAAGGGAAAGAGAUCAAACAGGGUAAAAAAGAGAGGAGGAGAUGAUCAGGACAACGAUGAGUUGAGGAAAGGCAAUAAAAUGAGUUCAAAAUAAGCA
rnacentral:lncRNA from 1 species